rnacentral:ncRNA from 2 species
GUGCGUCUUCAGGGCGGGGCGGAAUUCCCCACCGGCGGUAUGCCGGCCUGCGCGAAAGCGCAGGCCGGCGAGCCCGCGAGCGCCCGCAGUGAGGCGGUUUUCUGCAAAUCGAAAGCCGCCGCGGGGUCAGCAGAUCUGGUGCGAAGCCAGAGCCGACGGUCACAGUCCGGAUGGAAGAAGAUGUGC